CGUGUCGAAAGCUGAAAAACGAAUAAACCUGUUUUUUUAACGUUCGUCGAUGGAAAAAGAAAUCCGUUAGAUUUUUGACUGCGAAACGGCCCGGAGUCCUACUACUGAUCGUAUAAAAAGCCAUAAGCUGCUAUAUAUUCGGUUUGUGUUUCCCGUUCCCGUUCUUCACUUUACUAUUCCAAUGACUGCAAAGGGGAAAGUGUUCCUAUGUCUCUGUCACUGUACAAAUCUAACGUUAUAAUCACAGGAUAAUCACUUUUCAUUUUCAAAUAACGCGCCAAAUUGGGCUAGGGGCGGAAAAGAAUUAAUGGUGGGAGGUGGUAAGGAGUGGGGUGUCCUGCUUUUCCUACCCAGUCAUCUGGUCACCCUGGAUAAAGAUAAGUUGACAACAUUUUAUGCGUUUCCUAAAAAUAAAUCUCGUUUCUCGUGUGCAUUUCAGUGUAAAUAUAUCUUAACGGAAAUCUAACCUCAAAAAGUCAGUCCAGGCGGCGUAAUCCUCGCCUGCUUGCUUGCACGCGUUAUUGAAUCUCGAUCAGUAUAUUUAUAUUUUCAAAGCACUUUUAUAAGCCUUUAAUGACUUACCUGGUCUUACAGAUUCCAGGUGGAUCAAUUCGUAUGAAACAAGCUAGAAGAAUAAGGACUUUCUAGCUGCCUCGAAAAAACUUUUAAAAACCGACAUUGAUUUUAAAUACCUGCAUGAAAAUAAAGCAAACAAACUUUUUGACAUAUGGCCAGAAGUUUCAACAAAACUGAUGAGCGUUGCGAGAAAACGUACCAAAGACUCAGACAUAUUGGAGUUUCUGAAGAAAUAUGAGACCAUUAAAGAAGGUAACAAUGAAGUUAUCCAAAUCAUAUCACUCUUGCUCUUUUUUGUCUACAUUGUUAAACACAGCGAGCUUUAAAUCAAAAACUUGCGGAAAACAUUGGAGACCUUCUUUGAAUGAAGUGCAGAGAGGAUUCAUACUUCACGCUUUGACUGAUGCAGAAUUGCAACUUUUACUAACGGAACGUCAGAAGACAAUUCAAAAAAGGAAAUUUACAAACCAACCCCUGCCGGUGAUCAUAGGAUCGGUAGAUGAUAUCAUCAGUUGAAUACGAAAUGCCUUCUGUUCUGAAAGCAGUACAUAUUUCCUACAAAUCCUUCUUCGUGCUAAAUGCUGAAUAUCCCGUGGAAUCCAAACACAUAUGGACAUUUCUGCAACGUCACGUCUACGAUAUGACAGAUUCCAAUUCAAAAAAAUAUAUGUCGGUCAAUAAGCUAAUAACAGCAGUAAACAAAGUAUAGUCGCGCAAAGACAGCAAGAAGAGCAGUAUUAUAAGUUCUUAGAUUUAAGUUUAAAGGCGCGUUAUAACUAAAGUAUUUACAUUUAAGCAGUAAACGUUGUAUUUAAAAUGAGAGCUUUAAGACUUGUUGCCAAAAAAGUUUGAUUAUAAGUUUUGUAAUCAUUAUAAAGCUGCGAAGUUGCUGAAGGUAUUUAUAUCUGCGCGUCAUACUUUUAAUGUUUAAAUUUAAGAAAUAAGGCGUGUUAUGACCUAAAAAAGUGAGUUUGUUUCUAGUUUACUUAGUUACUUCUACGUAUUUAUAUGUUCAUGUUCAGUGACUUUUCAAGAAGGUGAAGUAUUAAAAUUUAAUUUCGAAAGCUUUGAAAUAAUGUUGUUACCAGUUGUAAGCUUUAAAGUUAAACUUUCAAAAGAUUUAUAUUCUUGAACUGUGUAAAUGCCUUAAAACGCGAAUCUGGUUAAAUUGCUUUACAAAAAGUUAAAGUAUUCAAAUUUAAUUAAGUAAAACUUGACAUAAUUUUGCUACCUGUUUUAAGAAAAAAAUUUUAAUUGGCAUAAGGUUCAACUUCGAAAAGUUUGUUAACAUUUUACGCCCUCCAACCUGUUUCCAACAGGUCAUUGUAUGAUAUUUUCAUAGUUGACACGUUUAUUACAGUAUUAUAAAUAUUAAAAUGAAGUGCUUUAAAUGUGAUUGGUCUUUUGAAACAGCAACGCAUUUACUUUCACACUUUAAACAUGUACAUCACAUGCAAAAAAAGGAUUAUUAUAAGUGCACUUGUGUCUCAGUUAUAUGAUAAUCCCCUGAUGCCUAGAAAUACUGUGCAAUUUGUAGUAGAUAGCAUAAAUACGUUUGUAGAUGCUUCUUCUCAAGUAAUUAAACAAACCUUGCAAAAAGAAUUUAAUUUAACAGAACAGGGCACUGGUAUCAUGUAAAUUUUAACAAAAGUAAAAGAAGUAAUAAAUGAAGUUGAUAAUCCAUUUCAAAAUUUAAAUACGGAAUAUAAGAGAUUAAAAUGUUUGGAAGAAAGCAGUUUCCAUAAACGGCCACAAGGAUUUAUUAUGCGGCAAAGUAAAAUGCAUAGAAAGGUGAAGGGUCAAAUAGUGUCAAUGGACAGAGAUGUUAAAGGAGAAUUCAUUCCCUUCAGGAACACUUUGAAAUCAAUUUUCGAAAAUCCAGGUUUUUUAGAGAAAAUAAAAAAAUAUGUGAAUUAUUUAAAAAAUAGUACAGGCACAGUUAUGUAUAACCUUAUUCAAGGCAUUUGCAUAAUAAUGGUAUCAGCAUAAAUGGUGAUAAAAUAUAUUUUGAAUUUUGUUUAUUGUGUGGUGAUAAUUUAGGUUUACACAUUAUUUUAGGUCUAACCGAAUCAUUCUCUGCUAAUUUAUGUUGUAGGAUAUGUAAAAUACGAAAAGAAAAAAUGAAAGUUAUGUGUGAAGAAGACCCAGCAGUUCUUAGAACAAAAGAAAGUUACGAAUUCGAUUUAAAAAAAGUAACUGAUCGGUAACAGGAAUAAAAGAGCGUUGUGUUUGGAAUGGUGUAAAUGGAUUUGAUAUUACUGAAAACGUUGCUCUUGACAUUAUGCAUGACAUUCCAGAAGGCGUGGCAACCUACACAAUGCAAAAAUUCUUGAUUAUCUCAUUUUUCAUUUAAAAGCAUUCUCCCUGGUAACCUUAAAUUUUCGUAUCAGAAACUUCAACUAUGGCGUAUUAGAGAGAUCGAACAAACCACCAAAUAUUACUCUUGAAAGUUCAUCAAAGAUUAAAAUCGACAUGACUGCUUCUGAGAUGACAUGUUUCUUCAGAUAUUUUGGCUUCGUGUUCGGGGAGCUUGUUCCAAGAGGUGAUAAAGUUUGGAACUUAUACUUAAAAUUAAGGAAAAUAAUAGAAAUUCUAUACUCCAUUGAAAUUCGAGCAACAGAUAUUACAUUGUUAGAGUGCCUUAUCUCGGAACAUCACUCAUUGUAUCGCGAGCUUUUUAAUGAUACUUUAAAACCUAAAUUUCACUUUAUGGAACACUAUCCUAGGUGGAUAAAAAAAAGUUGGUCCUUUAAUUCACUGCUCAACCAUUAGGUUUGAGUCUAAACACAAGGAGUCGAAAAGUACGUGUAAUGUUUCCUGUAGCAAAAUUAACAUCCCUUACACCCUGGCUGUUAAACACCAAUUGAAACUAAAUUAUUAUGUUCAAAAUUAUCGUUAUAGUGAUAUAGAAAUGGGUCCUGUGAUUCCUUUCGACUUUAACCAGUUCGAAUUACUUCACUAUAAAACGUACUUUCCAAAAGCUGAAUUCCGAGAGCAAAUUAUAUCUUUAAAAUGGGUAAACGUGCAAGGUACUGACCACAAUAAAGAAACUAUUGUUGUAAUUAAUUAUGACUGUUCAUACCCGGUGUUUGGAAAAAUUUGUUCAAUUUGUGUAAUUGAAGAAAUCGUUAAUUUUUUAGUGUUUCCGUUACCUUCCAUAACUUUCGAUGAGCACUUUCAUCCAUAUCGAGUAGAAAUCGGAUCAAAUAAAUUAACUAUGAUUCCAAUUACGUAUGAUGGCCUACCACACAAGCUACCUUGUUUGUUCAUUCAAAAAGAAACAAAUUUAUAUGUUGCUACGCGUUACUUAGUAUACUGAGAGGAUGCGAUAAGAUAGAGUUUAAACUCCUCUGACGAAAGUAUCGGAUAGAAACGUCUUCCGAAUCAAUCUAAAGUCAUCCGAAUCAUUCCGGAAUCUUUAUCCGAACGAAUCUAAGUUCAUUUGACACAAUCCAAAAAAUGUCUACAUUUCGUUCCAUCCAAAUCGGUCAAAAAUUAUUCCGACUCAAUUCGUUUCAUUCCGAACUUACAAUCUAAAUUAAUCCUAACCAAAUUUUAAAUUUGAGUCAAUCGGAACUUGGAUUGGCCUAAAACGAUUUUCAGUCCAAUUGAAUCCAAUUCAAUCCGAAGUCGGAUUCAUUUGGUUUGAAAAUUCAGUGUAUAUCAAUCCGAGUCGGGAUUAAUUCGCAUUAAUUUGGAGUUACAUUUGAUUCGGAUUGAACCGGACUGAGUCGGAUUCAUUUUGAACCGAUUUAGGUUAAAGGAAGUCUAGAAUUCUUUUGGGAUUGGUUCGAAUUACCUCGAAUUGGUUCGGAUACAGAUUCUGGCAUGAUUUGGAAUGGUUCGGAGGGAAUUCCUAUCCGAUAUUUUCGCCAGUGUCGUCUAGUCAACUUUAUAAUGACUUAUAAUAUGUUUUAUCUUAUAUUAGCGCUUAAAAGAUCUUUAUUCUCACAGCAGAAUAUAUCACGUUUCUAAACCAAUCACAUUUAAAUAAUAAUCACUUCGUAUAUUAUAUUUUAAGUUACACACAAAAGUUUAAAUGUGAAACACAAAAUAUACAUUUAUAGAUACAAAAUGUGUUUUAUAAUAAUGUCAGCAC